rnacentral:lncRNA from 1 species
GUGAUAGAGGACUACCCUUAUGCUGUUGAUGGACUUGAAAUAUGGGAUGCUAUUAAGACAUGGGUCCAUGAGUAUGUCUCUGUGUAUUACCCAACAAAUGCAGCAAUUCAACAAGACACUGAACUUCAAGCAUGGUGGAAGGAAGUUGUGGAGAAGGGUCAUGGUGACUUAAAAGAUAAGCCUUGGUGGCCUAAACUGCAGACUGUGGAGGAUCUCAUUCAAUCCUGCUCUAUUAUCAUAUGGACAGCUUCGGCUCUCCAUGCAGCUGUUAAUUUUGGGCAAUACCCUUAUGGAGGUUAUAUCGUGAACCGUCCAACUCUAGCCAGAAGGUUUAUCCCAGAAGAAGGAACCAAAGAAUAUGAUGAGAUGGUGAAGGAUCCUCAAAAGGCAUAUCUGAGAACAAUCACACCCAAGUUCGAGACCCUUAUUGACAUUUCAGUGAUAGAGAUAUUGUCAAGGCAUGCUUCUGAUGAGGUCUACCUUGGCCAAAGGGAUAAUCCAAAUUGGACUACGGAUUCAAAGGCAUUGGAAGCUUUCAAAAAGUUUGGAAACAAACUGGCAGAAAUUGAGGGAAAAAUCACACAGAGGAACAAUGAUCCAAGUCUGAAAAGCCGACAUGGGCCAGUUCAGCUUCCAUACACAUUGCUCCAUCGUUCAAGUGAGGAAGGGAUGAGUUUCAAAGGAAUUCCCAACAGUAUCUCCAUCUAAAAUGUGUGUGUGGUUUGCUUAUCUAUUGUGCUUUUGAAUAAAAUAGACAAUACUUGUCUAUGGUUAUUAUUGGCUGUAUGUCUGUAUUUGGAUGCUCUCGAUCGGUUUGCAAGUAAUAAGAGUGUUUUCACUGUCACUUUGUAUUUCGAUCAUCUUAAUUAUGUUUACUAGUAAUAAUGUGGAAGCUGUACGUUUGUUAAUUCUAGGUUAAAUAAUAGAGCAAUUGUUUUUGAACUAUUUGAGAAUUGUUAAGGUCUCUUCACUAGAUCACUAUGAAAUCCUUUCUCACCACUACCAUGAUUUAUGACCAAGUCCUUCAACUAUGUCACAUGCUUACCUUUCUUGUGAGUCGUAGUCUAGCUACAUGACACAAUUCUUAGGGACCAUAUUCUUGAUAUCACUUCUCUGACUCAUAAACAAAGAUAAUAUAUAUAUAUAUAUAUAUAUAUAUAUGAUCAGUUUUUUUAUUGAUCUACAAUAUCCAUCUCAAUAUUUUAAAUAUAUCAUUGCUUCACAUAUUCCACUGAUUUCCAAAGAAGUCAAUGUAGAAUGACAAUGUGAAAAUCAUUUUUUAUACUAGUGAAUCAGUAUUUCAUGUUUCUUUAGAAAGAUAAUUUUUUUAUAAAUAGUUAUUAAAUGAUUUAUUUUUAUUUAAUAAUUUUAUAAUAAAUAUUUUUUUAUUUUCUUAAUUGGUAGCAUAUUCAUAUAAUUAAAAAUAGAAAAGAUAAUCCGGAACGUCCAAACUCAAUUAAAAAGAAACAUAAAUUAUUAUUUAAAACAUAAACCAUAUUUUUAAAAAAAACCUAACCCAAUGCCACUGUGUAUAUAAGAACAGAAGAAAUCAAAAGAAUCAAUUUGAAUAUAAUUAAGUAUGCAUAGAACGUGUUGCAUAUGGGGGAGGAGGUGCCCAUAGAAAAAUGAAUUAACCGGUGGAGCUCAUAUUAAAAAAAUGAUGUUUAUACUUUCUCCCUUCUCAAGUCCUCUAUAAAUACCAAAAUAUUCUUGGCUUCCUCACACCACAAGCUUCUCCUUCUUUUGGGAAAAGAUUAACAAUAAAAGUGUGGAGUACUGUUGAUAGCAAAGAUGUUUGGGAUCUUCGACAAGGGGCAAAAGAUAAAGGGGACAGUGGUGUUGAUGCCAAAGAAUGUGUUGGACUUCAACGCCAUAACCUCCAUCGGUAAAGGUGGUGUUAUUGACACAGCCACCGGCAUCUUAGGCCAAGGCGUCAGCUUAGUUGGUGGAGUAAUUGAUACUGCCACUUCCUUCUUAGGCCGUAAUAUCUCCAUGCAAUUGAUCAGUGCUACUCAGACUGAUGGUUUGUUCACUCUCAUCCUUCAAACUCUUUUCUGUAAUAACAUUACAUUAUAUUAAUAAUUGUUUUCAAUAAUUCAAAUUUAAUAGUUAUGCACUUACUGACCCCACUGUGUAAAUUAUUUCAUUUACAAAUUAUAUUUGGUAUGACUUUUGACAUAAUAAUAAUUACAAAAUUAUCAUUUUUGUAUUUUGAUCACAGUAUAAAACAAGUCUCGUAUAAUUAUACUAAAGAUUGUAGUACCAAAAUUAGACUCUUAAUAAUUAAUACUACCGCUGACACAUCCCAUGCAUCCAGCUCUAGUUAUUCUUGAAAUAUGCAAGGGCCAAGGCCAAGGAGUCACUUACCUAACUUUACCUUGUAUCUCUUAGGCUUUGAAUAUAUUUUUCUUAGAUAAGAUAACAAAAAAUAUUAUUUUGAUGAAGUUAACUUUACAAAGGAAGAAAAAAUAAAUAAAAAAUUCAUUAUAAGAAUUAAAUUCACAAUUUACGUUCCAACAUUAAAUCCACUACACAACCAGGCUGAUGCAAGUAUCACUUUUUACAGAUUAUUGGUCGAUCACAAUCUCACAAACUCAUCACUUAUAACUAUUUUUUUUAUGAAUUGUUGUUUUGUAUGGUUUUUGCAGGCAGUGGAAAUGGGAAAGUUGGAAAAGAAGUCUAUUUGGAAAAACAUCUUCCGACCUUGCCAACGUUGGGAGCAAGGCAGGAUGCGUUCAGUAUUUUCUUUGAAUGGGAUGCUAGUUUUGGAAUUCCAGGAGCAUUUUACAUCAAAAACUUUAUGACUGAUGAGUUUUUCCUCGUCAGUGUUAAACUCGAGGACAUUCCAAACCAUGGAACCAUUGAAUUUGUUUGCAACUCAUGGGUUUACAACUUCAGGAGUUACAAAAAGAAUCGCAUUUUCUUUGUCAAUGAUGUAAGCUUCUUUGUUUUUUUCAAUUAUGGUCCCAAUCAAUUUUGUUUUCAUUCUUUAAAUGAAAUAUAUUGUAGACAUAUCUUCCAAGUGCCACACCAGCUCCACUACUUAAGUACAGAAAAGAAGAAUUGGAGGUUUUAAGAGGAGAUGGAACAGGGAAGAGAAAGGACUUUGACAGAAUCUAUGAUUAUGAUGUCUAUAAUGAUUUGGGCAAUCCAGAUGGUGGUGAUCCUCGCCCAAUCCUUGGUGGGUCUAGCAUCUAUCCCUACCCUCGCAGGGUUAGAACAGGAAGAGAAAGGACCAGGACAGGUUAGACUUUUAUUUUUUGUCUUAUGUAUUCAAUUAUCAUGUUAGUAUUAUAAAAAGGUAACCAAUAAAUAAUAUUACAUUCGAUUUCUUUAAAUAAAAUUUUGAUUUUAACCUUGUAAAUGAGAAAAAAGUAAUUUAAAAUGAAAGAUCUGUCAGUGAAUUUUCCAAUAAACUGUAAUCAACAAUAUCAAUAUGCGAUGUGAUUGUAGAAUGGUAUGAUAUAAUUGUGUUGAGAAUAUAUAUCUAAUAAUACCAUUUCCAAUGAUACAAAAAAUAUUUAUUUGAUUAUUGUUUGAGCGGUAACAGAUCCCAACAGUGAGAAACCGGGCGAGGUUUAUGUUCCAAGAGAUGAAAAUUUUGGUCACUUGAAGUCAUCGGAUUUCCUUACAUACGGAAUCAAAUCCUUAUCUCACGAUGUGAUACCUUUGUUCAAAUCUGCAAUUUUUCAAUUAAGGGUCACAUCGAGUGAGUUUGAAAGCUUCGAAGAUGUGCGUAGUCUCUAUGAGGGUGGAAUUAAAUUGCCAACAGAUAUACUGAGCCAAAUUAGCCCCUUACCAGCCCUCAAGGAAAUCUUCCGCACUGAUGGUGAAAAUGUUCUUCAAUUUCCACCACCUCAUGUAGCCAAAGGUACCUUAGUUACCUAUAUUAAUCAAAACAACUUAAAUAUAUUAGCAUUUGUUGAAUUAAAUAAUCGAUCCGAUUUGACAAUUAAUUAUGAUUUGAGCAGUUAGUAAGUCUGGGUGGAUGACUGAUGAGGAAUUUGCUAGAGAGGUGAUUGCCGGUGUAAACCCAAAUGUGAUCCGUCGUCUUCAAGUAAGUCCGAAUGCUUUUUUUAUUAUUAAGUCUUUAAAAUGGUGAAUUUUUAUGUCAAUGUUAAAUUGUUUUAUGGCCAAACUAACAAAGACUCACUAUCUUUCCUCAUAUCAUUCUUCAAUAAUGUCAGGAAUUCCCACCAAAGAGCACACUUGAUCCCACACUCUAUGGUGAUCAAACCAGUACCAUAACAAAAGAACAAUUGGAGAUUAACAUGGGAGGGGUCACAGUAGAAGAGGUAAUGAUAUAUAUAUAUAUAUAUUAACAGUAAAAUAUCAUUGAAUUUCUAUCUUUUUGCUAUGUUAUCUUACAAUUUCUUUUUAAUAAUUUUCUAAUACAAAAUAAAAAAUGAGUUACACUUGAUUAAUAUAUAAAAAAAAAAGUCAAUCUUUUGAAAUUCGAAGCUAUGAAACAGUGUCUGAAAUUAAAUUUUGCGGAACAGGCACUUAGUACUCAGAGAUUAUUCAUAUUAGAUUACCAAGAUGCAUUCAUCCCAUAUUUGACGAGGAUAAACAGCCUACCUACUGCAAAAGCUUAUGCCACAAGGACAAUCCUGUUCUUGAAAGAUGAUGGUACUUUGAAGCCACUUGCUAUUGAAUUAAGCAAACCACAUCCAGAUGGAGAUAAUUUGGGUCCUGAGAGUAUAGUGGUGUUGCCUGCAACUGAAGGUGUUGAUAGUACAAUUUGGCUAUUGGCCAAGGCUCAUGUUAUUGUGAAUGACUCUGGUUAUCAUCAGCUCGUGAGCCAUUGGUAAUUGAACUUCUCUAGCAAUAUUUAGUCAUGUCUUGUAAAAUGAAAAAAUAAAGUCCAUGUAUAGCGUGUGUGAGUAUGAGUUUAUCAUUGACCUUUUUUUUUGUUGGGGUUACAGGUUAAAUACUCAUGCAGUGAUGGAACCAUUUGCCAUAGCAACCAAUAGGCAUCUCAGUGUGCUCCACCCUAUUUAUAAACUUCUUUAUCCUCACUACCGCGACACCAUAAAUAUCAAUGGACUUGCUAGGCAGUCCCUGAUUAAUGCAGAUGGCAUUAUAGAGAAAUCAUUUUUGCCCGGAAAGUACUCCAUUGAGAUGUCUUCAUCCGUCUACAAGAAUUGGGUUUUCACUGACCAAGCAUUACCAGCUGAUCUCGUCAAGAGGUAUUUAUUGUAAAAGUCAACCAUUGGUCUGAAAUAUUGUUUUUUCUUAGUAGUACAUAGUAGUAAUUAAGAUACUGUAAAAAUCAACCAACUUAUCAUACAUAUUAAUUUGUGAUUAGAUGAUACUACUAUGCUAUUUUUACUCUUGAAAGAUAUUGAGGUUUGGAAUGUGUUUUUAUUUUUGUUUUGGGGCUUGAUUCAGAGGAUUGGCAAUUGAAGAUCCCUCUGCACCCCAUGGCCUUCGCCUUGUGAUAGAGGACUACCCUUAUGCUGUUGAUGGACUUGAAAUAUGGGAUGCUAUUAAGACAUGGGUUCAUGAAUAUGUCUCCUUGUAUUACCCAACAGAUGCAGCAGUUCAACAAGAUACUGAACUACAAGCAUGGUGGAAGGAAGCUGUGGAGAAGGGUCAUGGUGACUUAAAAGAAAAGCCUUGGUGGCCUAAAAUGCAGACAACUGAAGAUCUCAUUCAAUCAUGCUCUAUUAUCGUUUGGACAGCUUCGGCUCUCCAUGCUGCUGUUAAUUUUGGACAAUAUCCUUAUGGGGGCUUAAUCCUGAACCGUCCAACUCUAGCCAGAAGGUUUAUCCCAGCUGAAGGAACCCCAGAGUAUGAUGAGAUGGUGAAGAAUCCUCAAAAGGCUUAUCUGAGAACAAUCACACCCAAGUUUGAGACCCUUAUUGAUCUUUCAGUGAUAGAGAUAUUGUCAAGGCAUGCUUCUGAUGAGAUAUACCUUGGAGAGAGGGAGACUCCAAAUUGGACUACUGAUAAGAAGGCAUUAGAAGCUUUCAAAAGGUUUGGAAGCAAACUGACUGGAAUUGAAGGAAAAAUCAAUGCAAGGAACAGUGAUCCAAGUCUGAGAAACCGGACUGGGCCAGUUCAGCUGCCAUACACUUUGCUCCAUCGUUCAAGUGAGGAAGGGUUGACUUUCAAAGGAAUUCCCAACAGUAUCUCUAUCUAAUUAAAAAGAGUUUGUGGUUUCCUUAUCUAUGUUGUACUUCUGAAUAACAUAGACUUUAUGCAUGUCUAUGCGUAAUUAUUGCCUGAACUUCUGCACUAUUGUAUUUGGAUGCUCUCGGUUUUCAUAUAAUAAAGUGUGUUCUCACUUUCACUUUGUAUUUAGUUCAUCUUAUGUUUACCAGUAAUAAUACAGAAGCGAUCGCGUUUAUUACUACAAUAACAAACACAGUAUAUGCAUAUAGUAAAUUAAAAUAACAUAUUUUAUAAGUUGCAACUAUAACUAACCGUUACAAAGAGUGUGAGAAUUAUGACUUUCAAAUUUAACAAUGUUAAUAUAAUUUGGUUACAUUUCCUUAUCAACAAAAUCAUUUAAAAUCAAGUGGCAGUCAAAUACUUUUAUAAAGCUCUCUGAGGUUUGAGGAAUUUUGAAGCCUAUUUUGACCUUCAUGGUUCCCGGAACUCAAUUGACCUAAACUUUUCAUAAUAAUAAAAAAAAUCAAUUUAUUUCAAGUCAAAUUACUCUUGUGGAUCUGAAAUAUUUACCAUUGAUUAAAACAUUAUUAAAGAAAAAUAUGUAGUUGUAUUUUAUUAAUUUAUAAAUUUGUAGUACUCUUAAUUUAUAAGGGAGUAUAAGUCUAACAUAAAGGAUUAUAAUUGGAAGAAGGAUGAUGUUGGUUAUUUUUUAGUUAAAAGUAAUUUUGGAAGGGUUCAAAUGUCCAUCCAAACAUAGGCUUAGUUAAUGCAUAUUUGAAUUAAAGUUUACAAAUUUAAACUUGCAAAAAUAUUUCAACUCUUAAUUCUUUAAAAUUAAGUGUCCAGGCAAAGUUUUACUCUUAAACAUAUUUUUAAAAAAUAACCAACAUGAUCAUAAAUUGAUUUUAUAUUUAAACAUACUUUUAGAAGGCUCCACUGAAAAUUCAAUCAUACCCUUAGUCUUUCACAAAUGGCAAACCAUGUUUUGAAUUCCUCCUAUUAAGAGGUAUACAUAUUUCAUAUCCAUGGUAACUAAAUGUUUUUGAAAGAAGAUAUUUAUCAAAAAAAAUGUAAUUAAUUAAUUAAUUUUUUCUUUUACUUCUAACCAGCAUAAAAUAAUAGUAGUACCAAUCAUGCUACUAUAAUCAUGCAUUCGAGGUGGAUGCUCAUUCAAUUUUUAUUUUAUUUCUUUUACCAUUCUAAGUUUAAGUCAUGAAUAUGUAGUUAAAUACAUACAUAAAGAAUUUGGUUGCUCAUAAUAAUUACACUCGUGACAAUUGUUUUUAACAUCUUAUUAUGUGAAUAAUUAUCUUUAUUUUUCUUUAAUAUAGGUUAUAUAGAUUUCUUAAUUUGCAAAUAAAAGGUUAAAAAAUUAAACAAAUGUUGUUUGGAUGAUAGAAAGUACUAGUUUGAUUAAUUUCCACAAGAUUAGAUACAGAUGUAGAUGAGAAAAUUAAAUUUCAAGAUGUCUAUUUGCAAAAGAGAUAAAAUUUAAGGAUUAACUAAGACAAAAUUAAAAUUUAGAAUGCUUAUUUGUAAAAGAAAUAAAGUUUAACAUAAUUGAAUAUUUUUCCUUUUUUAUGACAAAAAAAUGGACAAUUAUGGAAAUAUAUUAUUUAGAAAAAUGAAACACAUUAGCCCAAAGAACUAAGGUGACAUUUGUUUCAAGGUAUUGAACAAGAUUCCUGAAAAUAUGAACUUGAAAAUAUCAUACUCUCAUGUUUAAUACAAGUUUUGUAAAAAUAUUUUCCAAAAAUGAUUGAUUUUCAGCGAUGUAUAAUACAUGCAAUUGUGUUGCCUCUUAUUCCCAUGAAGAAGGACAGAUAUAUUGGAUUUUCAUGCAAAUAGAACUUAUUUUUUAUAGUAACUACCUAUCCCUACUUCAUUCUUUCAUAUUUCUUUUUUUACUUUUAUUUUUUAAUUAAAUAAAAUUAUUUUUCCUGAAAUUACACUAUUAUAAAACAAACAUAUUUAUGUGAAUAAUAUUCUCAAGCAUAAUAUUUCUAAAAAUAUGAUUCUCAAAUAAAAUUUCAUACCUUGAAACAAACACCCCUAAGGAAAUAAAUUGUAGUGAAAAAUAAAAAUAAAAAACACUUUAAUCUAUUGACGAAGGGAUAAGCCAAACUUAGCCAGCACAUGAGCAGAUUGAUUAGCCUUCAUGAACAUGCCUAAAAGAUAUGUUACCGUCCUUGUUUACUUUUCUUUCAACACAUGAAAAUUUUCUUCAACUUAAUUAGCGUUGCACGAUGACAUUACACAUUUUAACCCUAUUGCAUUAAUUAAUGAAAAAAAUUGUGACUUUUCGUGAGUAACUAAAUCUAACGCCAAUACAUAAAAAAGAAUGUUGAAGUGUUUAACAACGGCAUUAAAAAGUUAACUUCCCUGUUCAUUUCUAUAGCUAUUUUCACAAAGUUGUUUAAUGAACUCGUGACUCGCAUGUGAAUUAUAAUAUUUUGGAAUCAAAUAAAUAUUUAAUAUUAAUUAUUUAAUGACAAGUACAAUUAUGUUCUUUCUACACUUUUUUAUGCAAAACCAUAAUGAAUUAGAAGUAAUAAAAUACUAUUAUUUCUCUAAUACUUAAUGUCAAAACCAAACCCAACUGCCCACGACGAUGUGGAGAGGGAUAAUAAAUGUAUUUUAAUCUGGCCUUUAUGCUAUAUAAUAUGGCCCAUUUGAUUGUCCCAUCCUCUAGAUCUCGAUAAUAUAAUAAAUGCGAACAUAUAGUUUAUUCUUUCAUUCAUAAAGGAUGACUUAAUAUGCUGACUUAAAAAAAUACUUAAUUUAGGUUAAAUUAAUUUAUUAUUCUUUAAAUUUAUUUUUUAGGUUUAAUUUUUUCUUUUAAAUCUUUUGGAAUUUAAUUUGACUUUUUUAAUUUAUAAAAUUGAUUCAAUUUAAUCUUAUCAUCUAAAUUAGAUCAAGAAUGUUACAAAAUCAUACUUUGUGAUUAAUUAAAAUCACUUAGUAACGACUUUAAUCCGUCAAAAACACAUAUUUAGAUAAUAAGAUCAAAUUUAAACAUGAUAAUCACUUAAAUUAAUUUAAAUGAUAAAAUCAAAUUGAAUCGAUUUUAAAAAUUAGAAAAUCAAGUAGAAAAAAAAUUAGAAAAAUAAAUCAAACUAAUUUUAAAAAUUAGAAUGUGAAAUUGAAAUUAAAAAUAAAUUAAAGAAAAAAAAUCUAAUUUAACAUUUUUCACGCUGAGACAUGGAGUAUAGGCACAACUGCACAAGUUUUCCAACUGUGACUGAAAAGAAACAAAAAAAAAACAAAUGUCGUUUUACAACUUUAUGAAAUAUUUUUAUUGUCUCUUUCUCAUCUUAGAGAAUUCUUUUUGAGAUGCUUAUAUAUAAAAAAGUAAAAGUAAAAAAUAAUUAUACAUGAUAUUAAUCAUUUAAUAUUUAAACAAUAGAAAAAGAAAAGGACCACGCAGCUUUUUAAGUGUAGUAAAUUCAUUUACUUUUCGUUUUUCAAUUCAACAAGGGAAAAGACGCGGAUAUGUUAUUAUUUUUACAACACUUUAGAAUCAUAAUUCAUAUAUAUAUAUAUAUAUAUAUAAUGUACUUUAACAUCAUAAGUUUGAGCAUUUGAUCGAAUACAAAUCUAUUAUACAUUGAGUUCGAAGUUAAUUAAAAAUAAACGAUGCAUCUACUAAUCAAUAAAAAAAUUAUUGUUCUGAUCAUAAAAGUUUGUGCUUAUUAUUCUAGUAUUGGGCUCAAUUUUUGAAGUGUUAUAUUCCUUUUUUAAGCCAAAUGUUUAAGAAAACAAUAUAUCAAUUAAAACCAAUUAUCUUUGAUUAAAAUAUUAAAUCAACAUAGACAAAAUCAUUUAAAGAGCAAAAAUAUUAUUAGUGUUUUGUUCUAAUAUCGAUCAAUAUUAUCUUCCUUGUUUGACAUAAAUGAUUAAUUUUUACUCUAUUUCUCUUAUGCAAUCUGAACACGGGAAGGUUGUUAGAAAAUUUACCUUUGGCAAGAAACUAUAUUAUCACAUUCUUAUGAAUCUUAGCUCAUGAUUCUUAGAUAAUACCUUCCAAAAUGAAAAAAAGAAAACAACUCACAUGAUUCACAUUUUUAAUAAUCGACUUGAGAGAAUAAUAAAUUAUCAAAAAGAACCAAACAAAUGAACGCGUCUUACAUCACAUGCCACGUAAAAACAGCCGGGUAAGGUUUUGAAACUCUUAAUAUAUAUAUAUAUAUAUAUUACCUAAAGAAAUUAAUUUUUGGGAUAUAUUUAUUAUUACCAUUAGGUACAUGGUGGCCCCAUGGGUCAUGAGUUAGUUUAUAUUAAAAUGGGUAUUAUGAUAGGAAAUAAUUAGUUUUGUAUUUUUGUAGGAUGGGCACGUUGAACUCUUCUAUAAAAAAGAACGCACGCCGUGAUAUUAUUGUACUGGUUGAUUAAAUCAAACAAAACUAUUAAUAAUUCAUUCCUCUGCCUAUGGCUAUGGAUAAGAUAUGAAUCUGCAAAUACUGAUUUUAAUAUUAUCUGCAAACUCUUCUAUAAUUCAUUCUUAAUUAAGAUUUUAUAUUAUCUGCAAACAAAACGACAAACACGACGUCGACAUGUACGACACAAACACAAAUACUGAUUUUAUUUUAUUUUUUUUCUUACACGCCAAUGAUGAUUCUAAAGCCAUAUUUUAUUUAGUUGAUUUACGUACACACUGUCACGUGGUAAAUUUAUUUUCUUUUAAGUGAGAAAGUACAUUUUAAAAACCCAAAACAUUAUUAUUUAUUAUAUUAAAUAACGGAAAAAAUAUAAUAAUAUUUAAAGUAACUCUUAAAAAAAUGUAAUUUAUUAUAAUAUAAUUUUUCAGUUUUUUUUCUCUUUCAAAACUUAAAUGAUCAAUAAGUUUUUUUUUUAAGAAAGAUAUUCUCAAAUCAUUGUCAGUAUAUUUGAAAAUUUUAAUUAUCUAUCGAUUAUGUUAAAUUUUAUUGAUAUAAUACUCUUUUUUGUUACAAGUAUCUUCCUGCUAACAAUGUAAAUUUUAUUUCUCUUAAUAUAAUAUUUUUUAUACAAAUGAUUCAAAAUUAACCAUUAGUAAUCAAUAAACUAAAUUAAUAAUCUUAAUUAUAUAUUAAAUUUAUGGAGCUUUAUUAGUUCUUAUGGCAUGAUUAUAUUUUUUCCGAAACAAACAAAAAUUAUUAAUUUUAAAGAAUUAUUUUGUUUCAAAAUUCUAGUCCUUUUGACUUUGUUUUUCAACAAAGUCUCAGAUGUGAUUAAGAGAAUAAAUUAAUAUAUACAUUGAAAAGAGACAUCGAUCAUAAACAUAAUAUUUUUGUUUUUUCAAUUUCAUAUUAAUAUGUUUAUAACCAAUUUUUAAUUUUAUUUAUUAUUGUAAAUUAUCGAAAAUAUACGGAAAUUUAUAGAACAUUGUUAUACUACAAUAGUUGGAAAAAAAACGAGUUGUUUUAAUCUAAAUCUAUAUCAAUUGCGUAUUUCUCAACAUGUGUGUCAUGAUUUUAAAAGAUUUAUAUUUUAAAACAGUGGGAGUAUUUUUUAUAAAGUAUUAAAAAAUAGAAGAUUUUAUGUAUUUUUUUCUGCAAAGUAAGGAAUUCAACGUGCCUGACGAAGACAUCAAACAUGAAAUUACGGCGUUGAUGUCACCGACUCGUUUCGUUUAAAUUGAAAAAGAACGAGAAAACAGAAAAAUAAAUAAUAAAUUAAGAUGAAAUUCACACUUAUAUUUUAUUCUAGUUAAAUUUUUUUAUCUCAAUUUACUUUUAUUUUAUUUUUUUCACUCUACUGACGAAUACUCAAUGAAAUGCCAAUUUUUUUUUCUUACUUUGGAGAAAACCUUUCUGAAAUACUGUAAAGAAUUAUCAAACUGAAUAAAAAUUUAAAGAUAUCAAUAUAAUUUAAAAUACUUUAUUGGAAAAAAAAUCACUCUAUAAUAAUUUUUUAAACAUAUUCUUGAAUAUUAUGGGCUAAAAAAUCAAUCACUAAUUCAAAUCAAAUAAUCAAUCAAUCAUUCUUUGUAAUGGAUGCGGUGGCAGAUGUGUGGAUAUGCUUCAGAUUCUGCAGGUGAACUCGGUGACUUGUUAAUUCGUCCUGCUAGACUUAGUUCAUAAUCUAAACAUUUUAGAUGAUAUAGCACAGUUACAACUAUUACUGUAUUACAUAAUUAAUGCUUAAAAGUUUUAAUGAGUUUUUAUUUAUUUAUUAUAUAUAGUUUUAUUUAAUAAUUUUCAUUAAUAUAUAUUUAUCAUAUCUUUCAAAAUCUAUUUGUGUAAUCAUUUUAUCAAAAGCAACAUUAUUUAAAAAAAAAAAAAAACACUUUACAUGCAUGCAGUUGAAAUACAAAGGCAACUAUCUUAUUUUUUUUAUAUAAAUAUUUUUAUGCAACUAUCUUUUCACGAGCCAAAGGCAUCAAUUGCUUACACUACAACAAUUAUAUUCUUUCUUUAACAGGUCAGCAUCAAGAUGAUAACUGGCCAAUCUUAUAAUAUAUAUGUAUAUUUUUUUUGAUUGUGUAUUUUUUAAUAAGAAAAACUUCCAUUCUUAUAUAUAUAUGUAUAUUUUUUUUCUGGUUUAUCUUAUCUUCUGCACCAUUAAAAAGAAAACACGUAGUUGAUUCUUGAUUGUUGGAAUCCAAGGGCAAUGAAUAAUGGACAUGCAGAGGAGAAGUGGGUCUGAUAACGCACGUGGAAAGAAGAAGAAGAAGAAGAAGAUGAUGAUACAUAGCAGAUAAAGUAGUAGCUUUUAUGCAUUCAGACACCAUACAAAACACGGUGUAUCAUUUAUGUGGCUUACUGACUCCGUCUAUGUGAAAGAGAAAAUUACAAAUGAACAGAGCCUAUAAUAAUUGCCCAGCGACAAACCAAGGUUGAUCGAGGAUCAAUCAAUGAAAUUCUAAACAUGCCAUCCUUCAAUUCCCACAUAAUUCAAAACACCAUCAUUUUAAAAACAAAAGAUAAUCAUUUUUAUCUUUGGCAUUAAUCGCUACAUAGUUAUAGCCUCACUAAAACUGUUCUAAUUAUUUUACUUAACAUACUUUAUUUAACAAAUAUUUACAAAGUUCGAUUUGAGAUAAAAUAUUUUCUUUUCUUUUAUUAUUUUUUAUGUUUACUAACAAUUUUUAAAACGGUAUACUUUUAUUCUACUUUUGAAACUUUUCAAAAAUGCUAGACUUAUUCUUAUAUAUAUAUAUAUAUAUAUAUAUAUAUAUAUAGGAUUAUAUUUUAAUAUUUUAUUAUGUAUUUUUUUCAUAAAUAUAAAAAUUUAUACUGCCGGUUAAUAAAAUAAUCUCUUCGAAUAUACUUUUUAAGAAAUUAUUUUCAACUAGCUUUCUUUAUAUUUUAAUUAAACUCUUUCAUAAGUGUCGAUAAAAACAAAAGAAAUGGAUUGCAAAACCUCUCUACCGACCAUAGCCUAUUUCCUUUUCAAGUCAUUUCACUCCUUUCAUCUUCUAUUUGCAUGGUCUAGUGGUUCCUCCUUCGUUCGUUCAUUUACGGGAUUUUUAUGGAAAGGGUGUAAUUUUUUUUCAAUUUUAUUAUUUUGGGGUUGAUUGUUAAAUUAUUACUAAAAAUAGGAUAAGUUGUAACACUUAUUACAACUUAUCCUAUUUUUGGUAAUAAUUUAAAAUCGAUCCCAAAUAAAAAAUUUGAAAAGAAAAAAAAAACAAAAAUUCCAUUUUUAUUAAAAGUCCCUCCAUUUACUUCAUCUCUUUCAAAAGAUAAUUAUUUGGUGUGAGGUUACUUAGGUUUGGCCAACUCGUUUGCCUCGAGGCUAUUUCUUAGCAAUUUAUAAAUUUUGAUGAAUGAAUUUUCCUUAUAAAGUUGGGGACCAUAAUUAUUUUAUUCCUGUGGAUGGUAUGGGUUGCAUGGACCACCAAAGACGUGAGUCAUUGAUGCUACAAUCAUUUAGUUUAGGCCCAAAAACAAACAAACAAAGUUUUGUGAGUCUGACUAGAGAAUUGAGAUUGGUUUUCACCAAUCGCAUCAUUGAUCGUGAUUGAGAGAAAUAUCAUUUUUAUAUUCUCCCUCGCGCACCACGUUCCACCAUUUUUAUUUUUAUUUAUUUAAAAUUGGUCAGGGACUCUUCUUGUUAUAAGCAUAUAUACUUGACAUUUACAAAGCUUUUCCCGAUAAAUAUAUAAAUUUUUUAAUAAACAAUAUAUUCAUUAAUUUAAUAAAAAUAUAAAAAUUUUUAUACGAUAAUUUUUACAUUAUUAUUUAAUUAUAAAUCAUCAUAUAUAAUAAAUUUUUUAAUUUUAUAAUAAUUAUUAAACUUAAUUACAUUUUUUAUCUCUCUCAAUAAUCCUCAUAUUCUAAUUCUAAUUGGACGAAUUGGGUCAAUUGUAUGAUCUUGGUCACUUCAUUAAUCUUCAAUUAAAUAUUUCACAAGAAUAAAUGCACAUAUUAUGCGGAAAAUUGUUCUCACAAGAUAUUAUUUUUUAAUUAAAUAUAUAUAAUAAUUUUAUUUAUUUUGUUGUCAUAAAAAAAUAGCGUUGUCACUGUAAGAUAUUUUAAAAAAGUGAAAUGUAAAAAAUUAUAAAAAUUAUAAAAAUUAAUAUUAUUUUUUUUCUUUAUUUUUUAAUUUUUACCACUCCUCCAACACUAAACACAUCGGAUUUCAAAAAAAGUAAUAUAACAAUGUCACAAAUAGAGAAAGAGAUUAAGAGAUUCAUAAAAUUGUGUAUUUUGUAAAUAAAUAAAUAAUUUUUCUAAUAAAAUAUCAUAGAUGACUUUUUUACUCCCAUUUAAGUUUUUGGAUCCAUUAUUGCGUGGUACUAAAUAUUGAUAUGUCAAUCACGUGGUUACUAUCAUGCUACUUAACAAAUAUGCUGACAUAAUUUAAUUUAUAAUUUUUGCCUCUUAAAUAUUACAACGGUAAAAAAAUAUAGCCAAAGAUGUAAUUAAGUCUCAUUAAUACAUGUGUCUAGAAAGACACCAACUAUAACAUCAUUGGAUAGUGUCACAUCAAUAAAAAAUAUAUAAAAAAUUUAGCUAUAAAAAUAUUAUUUUGAACAAAAAGAUAUUAUUUUUUAACAAAAAUAUAUUUUAUAAUUAAUUAAUUAAAUACGUUUGAGAUGAAAUUUAAAGAUUAAUUGACUUAAAAAUAUCGCUACUAUGCAAAAAGAUUGGACAUGAGUCCACAUGGUAUUUUCAAUUUAUUACUUAUUGGCUUUUAUAAUUACUAAGGACUGGAUUUUUUUUUUCAUAUUGAAUAAUAUUGUAUCAAUUCCCACAGAUUUUAUUUUUAUAGCAUUCUAUAGAUUUCAGACAUCUUGCACGUUAACAUAUAAUAAUUGUUUCUUUUUUUAAGAAUAGAAAAUUAUACACUUAGAUUAUCUAAACUCUAAAGUAACAUGCAUGGAACUUGAAUCCUUAAAAUACUACUCUAGCUUAUAAAGAUUUCACAUAAUCCAUAUGAUUCUCUUUUUAAAAUUAUAGUAAAAUCAAAAUACUGCCCACUUCGCUUCAUGGAAGAAUUUUAAAAAGUUGAAAAAAAAAACAUUUAUUUAAGGUCAAACAAACGUCGAUCAAUAGGAUCAAUCUUAUUUUUAAAAUAAAAACUUAUUUCACAAAAUUUGCGACCACUGCACAACAAAAAAGUGAGAGAACGCUCUAUAGUCUAUAAUUUUUUGUUUUUGUUUUUGGUAAUUAAGCAGUCUAUAAAGUCUAUUGCCCAGACUAUAUGUAGUUAAACAGUGCUUUAGAAGUUAUAUUCGAUGAUGAUUGAACUAAUAGACAAAAUUUAUAAUUAUUAGUGUUGAAUUUUAAAAUUUUCAUAGUCCAAUUAACCAAAAUCAAUAUUUAAAAAAAAAAUGAAUGCAUCUUUCUAAGAACAUGCUUACAAAAGUAGACUUUGAACUUAGAUAUUUUAUUCCCUUCGGUCUGAGUACUUUUAUAAACAUUAAGUGAUUAGAAAUCCUAUUACUUAUUGUAUCAAUGCCAGGAUAACAUAUACUCAUCAUGAAGCUAAUCGUGUGGGGUUUGCCUUGAGCUCCUUAUCAAGUUCUCUUCAGUUUUUCUCUACUCCAGCGUCCUUGCUUUGGAAAGAUUAUAUUGGGGGUUUCAUACCCCUGUAUUGUUAUGUUCUAGUGGCUUUUGCCUCCCUGUUAGCAAAAAAGAUUUGGAUAAUUAUGAGCCAUUUUUUUUUAUUCCUAAGGUUGAGAUCUUGUUUCUUGGAUGUAUGCAUGUAUGUGUAAUAAGUUCUUGAACACAAGGUUUAUUUGUAAUUUACUUCACUUGAAGAUUUAGGAUUUCAAUUAAGGAUACAAAGGUUCAUUCGUUAUUGUUUGUGGAAGUAAACACAAUUAAUUACUUAAGAAAAUGUUUUUGUUUUCCUUCAAACAGUGUUGUUAUUCCUUCAUGUGAGCCUUCAAACAUUACUAUAACUUAUAUGACGCCUACAAGAGAGAGUGACAAAAAGAUUAAAAUUUAAAACAUUACAAAAAGAUAGAGAGCAUUACCUUGUGAGGAUAGGCCGGGUUUGAAUAAAAGAUGAACACACUAAUAAAAAAAGAAAACAAGAAAUGUAUAGUAAAAGAAAACCAUAGAAUGACGGCAUACUUUUAUAAGAGAAAGAUCGAGAGGUACAUUGAUUUGAUUAUUUAUUUUUCAAGGCAUCUUGGAACCAAAGAAUACCAUUUUGAGUAUUGAAGCAGGAACGGAAAUAUGAGUGCACUACUGAGAAGGUUUCAACAGUCACAGUUGUUGUGUUAAAAAUUGACAUAGAAAGUGACUUUCUAAACUAUUUUUAAGUAGAAUCAAUCUAGAAUGUCUUGCUAGAAAUUUCAAAAGUUAGAAAAUACAUAGCAUUGUGCAUCAGUUGUUUGAAGAUCUGAUUUAAAAAGUAUUUUCUGGAUCAAUUCUGUACUAGUGUCAUAUUGGAGAUGUUGCGAUAGUGGUCUAUAAGUAGUAUAUAUAUGUGGGCAUGAAAAUAGAUAAGAUACAAUGCUGCAUGCUUCCUGGACUUGGUUAUUUUGGGAGAGUCCUACUUGUCAAUUAAUCUUAAAUGGAUUGUAUAUAAUAUGGUUAUGUUGGCAUGUUCUACCCCUUGCUUUGAGUUUUCAGUACCCUUAAUUUGUACUCUCAACUAAUUGGUACGUAUUAAUCUUUUUUUUAAUAGUAUUAAAUUCUAUUUUGCUUAUAAAAAAAUAUUUUCAUGCAUAAAAGUCCAAGCAGACAAAUGUAAAUAUAUACUGUAUAUUACUGAUACAAAAAUACUAUAUACUUUUAAAGAGGAAACUGCCAUUAAGAUGGGCUUUAGAAAGAAAAAACAAACAUGUCGAUGUAGUACAUUAAUUUUGGAGUUUGAACAACUUUCAAGUUUUCAUCAUUCCAUGCAUCUCCAUUGACGAUACUAAUUACUAAUUGAUCUAUACAAAGGAACACGAUAUGCAAUUUUAUUUUAAUAAUGUUUUGUGUUGAUACGUAAUUACACUUCUUUAGAUGUUUUAACCUUGUUUUUAUGUUUCACUAAAAUUGAUAACAACAACUGGUUUAUUGAAAUAAUAUAUUUUAAAAUAAUAUUAUUAGUUUAAGGAACUUUAAACGCGUGUUGUGCAUGUUUAAGUGAUACCAUUUGUACGUGUUGCAAUACUUAGAAUGUAAUAGAGUUAAAAGAGUAAAUUAGAAACAUAUGUGAAUUGGUUUUAAAAAAUUACACACAUCUCUUUUAUCUUUUUUAAUUAAAACUUACACAACUCUCUCCUAAAGUUAAAAAAAAUUAUAUAUACAUCCAAAUAAUUCUUAAAACCUACAUAAAUAUUAUCCAAACGUUUAACAAUAAUAAGUCAUUGAAGUCACACAUGACAUUUUUAAUGAGUUUAUUUUUUUCUCAAAAAUACCCUUAUCUUUCUCCUUCAAUUAUGAGAAAUUUUGACAAAAAAAAUUCAAGGAAAAAACCACAUCAAAUUAUCAUAUUAGUAAACUUAUAAGUUAAAUGAACAUCAUCACAAGUAAUGAAAUCAUUGAAUCAAUCAAAUUCCAGCAAACACAUAAGUUAAAUAAAUAAUUAUAGGUUUUAGAAAUCAGAUGAAUUUAUCCCAACCAAGCCAUCAAUGAUCUAACACACAAAAUCACGUUAAUCAAUUCUAUAAAAACAAUAAUAACAUUAAAUCUAGAUAUAUUUAAAAAAUAGAAGAAAAAUAUGUAUAAUUUUUUAAAUCUCAAAAGAAAUUUGUAUAUAUUUUUAGAAAAAGAAAAAUAUGUAAUUUCAUUACAUCUCAUGAAAAAUCUGACAGGAAAGCUAAAUUUUAACAGCGGAUACAGUGACUAUGAAAAUCACUCCUUCUUUAAUUCGAUUACAUGAACAAAUGUGGUAACCUAAAAAUAUUAUUGCUAUAGGAAUAGGAGCCAUGUAGAAUUACGGGCGAAUUUUUAGAACCGAGGUCUGCUAGAAAGCCUACCCGGAAAGUCCUUCAUAAAGGAGAAGUCUUAAAAUUAUCAUUUCUUUAUUUUUUUUAUUUGUCUACUAUAGAAUAUAAUAUAUAGAUUAAGAAAUGUAAUCACUGCUAUAGUUUAUGAUAAAACUACUUUUAACUUUUUAAUUAGCGUGAUAUUUACUAUUAUUUUUCUCCUGUUUUUAUGAUAAAUAUGAAAAAUAUUUAAUAAUUAAGAAAAUAAUAAUUCAAAAGAUAAUUCUUAAUGUUAUCUUAAACUGUUUAAAAAAAUGAGAAAUAUUUUUUUAUAAAGUAAAAAAAUAGAAAGAAAUAAGUGAUAAAUAAUUAAAUAAAUUAUAGUUUUUAGUUUUAAAAUCAACAAUUAUAUAUAUAUUUUUCCAAAAUACGCUCUUCACUUUAAUAAACUAAAUCCUUAUUUGAGAAAGCAUUCAUGCAAGCCUAUUAAUCAAAUGGAAACUCUAUGUUAAGCAGACAAUUAAUAUUGUGGCUGUGCUCAUUUGACCAACAGAAAAAAAUCUUAUUUCCAAACCAUGACGGGGUCAUUAAUUAAUAAUUCUCCCACGCUAAUCUUAUGCUGGAAAAAAUGUAUUUAAAAAAUGCAGUAGACUAAAUAAUAAUUCAAAGUGAGCUCAUUAGUGAGGUUUUCUUAAUUUUAUAUUGUCAUGAAUACGCUCGAAAUUUACUAGACUACGCGUUCGAAAUUUUGAUCUUAUCCAUCGAUAAACUAUAUAAAAUCCACACCCUAAAAGACACAGCUAGUUAAAAAAAUAUAUUUUAUCUGCAGCCCAAUGAAUGAUCCUCUUCAUGUGAUCAUAUAUUCAAAUUCAUGGUUGUAAGAACAUGAAGUUAAAAAAUAUAUCACCUGCAAAUCUGAAUAGGUAAUUUAUGGGAAAAAAACACCACGAUCAUAUACAGUUUUGUUUAUUACAAAAUCGUACAGGAUGUUUAACUUUUGAAGAUUUGUGUUCUAUAAUAAAAUAUGAGGUUAAAAAAUCUAACCAAUACGCAUGAGGUAUAAUUCCUUUUGUAGUUUUGUUGACCGCUUCUAAUCGAUAUUUAUAUUGUAUCACAAGAGCUUUUGGCACACACACGUCAUGACACGUGUAUUAUGUAUAUAGUAGUAAAUGUUAGAUUAAAGAAAUAGUUGGGCCAGAGAUUCGAAGAUUGUUGUCCAUCUUGUCCAAUAAGAUUGUAAUCCGGCCCAAUAUAUUGUGAGAGAGAUCUUUGGAUCUCUCAAUUCUUAACGAGCCUUGUUCAUAUAACAUUAAGCUUACUUUUAGAAAGGUAGUUGCUUGGGGCACCCAUCAUUUUUGUUGGAGCACCUAGAAAUUUCUGAAAAUGCUGAAAAUAUCCUUAUGGUAUUUUCGGUUGUAAAUAACAGGUUCAAUUUUUUAUUUCUGCAACGUCAUUUUUUUACGUAAAAUUUUUGUGACUUAGUGUAAGCUGCUUCCGUUAAGGGUGGUUUGUAAACGUAUUUGAUCUCUGGUGGUGUAUAUGCGUUUGUAAGGAGUAUAUAAUGAAUUUUGGUCGAUUUUCGUCGUCGGAAAAGGAAAUGAGUGCAAAAAAGAAUUUGACGUGCGUACGGAUUGACAAUCUGUAUGGUCAUACGGAUUGACAAUCUGUAUGAACCAUACGAAUUGACAAUCUGUACAGCCAAAUCAUUUUUAAUUUUUUUCUUUUAAAUUUUACAAUGAUAAAUUAAAUCAAUUAAACAAAUUUAAUUCAGUUAUUGCUUAAAGCAAAUCAAUUAAAAAAAUUUAAUUCAGUUAUUGCUUAAAACAAAUCAAUUAGAAAAUUUUAAUUCAGUUAUGGUCAUAUAGAUUACAAAAUUUUGCAAUGAUAAAAGAAAACAAUUUAAAAAAUAUUUUAAUGAUUAAUUUAGUAAUUGGUUAAAUUUAACAAUGAUAAAAAAAAUUCAUUUAGUCAUUAAUUAAAAAUAAUUUAUUUCAAAAACAUGACCAAAUGUUUUCAAAAACAAUGGGAUAAUAUUGUACACGACAAAACAACUAUUAUAUAUAAGAACAUUGUUGCAACAAAUUUAGAAUCAACACAUGAUAAAACAAUUAUUAUAAAACAACUAAUAUAUAAUUAAAAUGCUCAUAAUAAUUAAAAUGUUUAAAGUAAUUAAAAUCCUAAAUUGCUCAUAAAUACGACCAAUAAAGCACACAGUUAACAUUGGGAUCAAUGAAUUCAAAAACUAUUUCCAUGUCAGCAGUUAACGACAAGGUCUUGCAAAAAUGUUUCCAUCCGAUUCUAAUUUUAAGUAUCUUCCUAAAAUGAUUGAACACGAGCCGACUUUCUGCAACGUCCUCCAAGUACAAAUGUGUUCAGCCUUUGUCUAUAAGAAAAUAAUACAUGCUACUUGAAACGUCCUGACAAAUAAAAAAAUGUUAUGUCAACAAUUUAUGUUAUGAAACUUAAAACUUGAAAAAUAAAGAAAUGUUGACAACUAGAUUAGGAAGUUGCUUACCAAACUGCUACAGAUAACUUUAUACUCAGCGAGAUAAACCUUUAAGGUGACAAAACCUAACAUUUGAUGGUAUAAAGAGUGUCAUCUUGGGAAUGAUCUGGGCAGGCAACUGGUCUUGAAUAUGGUAAGAAAAAAAAUGCAUUGUUCCCAUAAUGAUGCAAGGAUACUAGAUGAUCUCCGGUCAGCUGGUAAAAAUUUCGUAGUACUAUCCACCCUGCUACAAUGGCUGGUUGGUCCAAAUUUUUAUUGUAUACAACGUUAUGAUAAUUUCCGUCUCUGUCAACCAACUGUCAUACACCAUCCAAUACGUCAUUCCACUUGACAGCAUAUACCUUACCAAUUUCAUCGAAAAUCUAAAUGUCAUAUCACAAAAUAAGGUUGGUUAGUUAUACAAAAUGACAGAAAAAUCAAAUGUUAAUUAAAUCAAAAUGAACAUGACCUAGUCCUUGGCGUGAAUGGUCUGGAAAAAGCCUCUGGUGGAGCCGCGACAUUCUGCAUCAUGUUUUCCAUUUCCCUCCACUCUCUAUGCUCUUCAAUGGUUAAUUCUGACAUAAUCAAGCAAUUAACAAGCAUUCAAACACAAAACAAAAUUAACAUUCAAGUAACUAUAUGUUAAUUCUUACUAGGCACAUUCGCCAGAAGUUGUUCCAGUUCCUUGUUGAGGUUGGUCCAACGUGAUGACGACGCACGAGAGUGUGACAUUCUGAAAUAUAUUUGACAAAAUAAUAUUUUAGUAUUUUUGUUCUACUAACAUUUUCUUGUUUUUAAUCUAAUUUUUCUUUCUGAAAUCUAAUGUUUGUUUUAAAAAUCUAAUAUAAUAUAAUCUAAAUUGUAAUCUAAUCCUACUAACAUUUCUUAGAUAAACUGAAUAAAUAAAUAAAUCAUUCAUAAAAUCAAUAAUAAACAAACUAAAAUGAAUAUAAAUAUUUUUCGUUAUUCCUAUUUAUUUUCUAAAAAAAUGAUUUUUUUAAAAAAAAACUCUUACAGAUUAACAAUCCGUAUGAUUCAUAGACAUGAUUUUUUUUUUAUAAAAAAAAGUCAUAUGGAAUCCGUAUGACAAUUUUUUUUUUUUAAAAAAAACUAUAUGGAUUGUCAAUCCAUAUGACGAAUUUUUUUUUUUAAAAAAAAAGGCAUACGGAUUGAUGACAAUUUUUUUUUAAAAAAAAAGCUAUAAAGAUUGGCAAUCCGUGUGACGGAAUUUUUUUUUUAAGAAAAAGCCAUAUAGAUUGCCAAUCCAUAUGACAUAAUGUUUUUUUUUUAAAAAAACAAGCCAUACAACAAUCUGUAUGGCUUUUAACUAACAAAAACCACAAUUUUUUUUAAAAAAAUCAUAUACGAAUUGGCAAUCUGUAUAUGAUUUUCGCAGAACACCAAAAAAAACGCAGUGAACACACGCAUAAAAUGCCAAUGAAGGAGAAGACAAACUCAAUGAACACCAAGAAAAACACAAUCAAUAAGGAGAACAAGCAGUAACAACCACAAAAAAAUAACAACAACAAAAGAAGAAGGAUAACUUACCUCGAAGGAGAAGAAGAAGGAAGAAGCAACAACAACACAACACAGUCACGGCGGCAGCAACGACGGAACCACGAAUGGCACAAUCACGGAGGCACGAAACGGAGGAAGGAGGAAGAGCACAAAAAAAAAAGAAGUUGAAUAGUGACUCGUAUGGACAAGUCACUAUUUGGCUUUUAUAUGAAAGGGUGAAGGGCAUUUUCGCCCUUUCACCCGGGUUGCUGAGUAUCCCAACAAAAAACGCUGGGCGUCCCAAGCAACAACCUUUUAAAAAAUAUGGUAUUUUUUUCUUAUCAGAUUUCUCAUUUGGUGUACUUUUUCUCUUUCUUCUUUUUACAAUGUGCUGGAUUCAGUAGUAAGAUAAGAAAUUUUAUGGUAAAAGAAAAAUAAAGGAGAACGUAUUUUUAUUAGGUUUAUUUAAAGAAAAUAUAAGAGGAAAAGUCACCUUACUUGUGUUGAUUACUAAAGAAUUGAUGAGUGCAAAUUUUCUUUAUCUUAUUUUCUGUAGGAAUUGGAAAAGGGAAAGUUGGAAAGCAAACAUUUUUGGAAGGUCUUGUUACCUCCCUUCCAACCUUGGGAGCAGGCCAAUCUGCAUUCAAUGUUCAUUUUGAAUGGGACAGUGACAUGGGAAUUCCUGGAGCAUUUUACAUUGAGAACUUUAAGCAAGUUGAAUUCUUCCUUGUCAGUUUGACUCUUGAAGACAUUCCUAACCAUGGAUCCAUCCACUUCCUUUGCAACUCAUGGGUUUACAAUUCCAAAAAAUACAAAAGUGGCCGCAUUUUCUUUGCAAACAAGGUAAUAAACCGUUUACCUAGUAAAGUAGUUAGUUUGUUGAAUUUAAAUCAAUGAGAAAAUUUGUUAAAUAUGUAUAAAUAAAUGUAGACAUAUCUUCCAAGUGAAAAACCGGGUCCACUAGUGAAGUAUAGAGAAGAAGAACUGAAGACUUUAAGAGGAGAUGGAACAGGAGAGCGCAAAGAACAUGAAAGGAUCUAUGACUAUGAUGUCUACAAUGAUUUAGGUGAUCCUGACUCCAAUGCCAGAUUGGCUCGUCCAGUUCUUGGAGGAUCCACCACCUUGCCUUACCCUCGAAGGGGAAGAACUGGUAGAAAAAAAUCCAGGAAAGGUAAGGCUUCUGUUCUAAUACUUAAACAUUUUUUUAGUUCUUUUGCUGUGAUGUUUACUUUAUGGUAUUUUAUAGAACGAAUGAAAUUUUAAAAUGUGAUUAACAUGUAAUAAAUUGUUUAUUGGAAAUUCGGUUUCUAUUUUGUAGUUGAAAAUGUCUUUUGCUGAUCUAAACAUUUUCCUUGCUAUGAUUAAAAAAUUAUUACUAUUAACUUUUAAUGUUACUCUUAUAAUCUUACCAGAUCCUAAAAGUGAGAGUCGCAGUGACUUUUGUUUACCUUCCAAGAGAUGAAUCAUUUGGUCACCUGAAGUCAUCAGACUUUCUUGUAUAUAUACUCAAGUCUGCAUCUCAAAAUGUCAUACCUCAAUUACAAUCUGCACUUAGCCUGCAAUUCAAUCAGCCUGAGUUUAAUAGCUUCUAUGACGUGCGCGGACUCGAUGAUGGUGGAAUUAAGUUGCCUACUAAUACACUUAGCCAGCUUAGCCCUAUACCAUUGUUCAAAGAACUCUUCAGAACUGAUGGUGAACAGGCCCUUAAGUUCCCAACGCCUAAAGUGAUUCAAGGUAUAUUUGAAACAUACUAAUAUUUAAUUUCAAAUAACAAAAUAGGCUGAUUAGUAGAUCUUUUGGAAUGUUCUUAUUUGGAGCAGUGGAGCAGUCUGCAUGGAUGACUGAUGAAGAAUUCGCAAGAGAGAUGACUGCUGGUGUGAAUCCACACAUUAUUAAAAGACUUCAGGUAAAUUUACUAUUUUGCUGUUAAGCAAGUACCAAAAACUAAAUAUUUUAUCACUUGUUAAAUUUGCAGUUGAUAACCUUGCCUCGUUGCAAAUUAAAUUUAUUGCUGGAGUUCCCACCAAAGAGCAAGCUAGAUAGCCAGCUCUACGGUGAUAAUACCAGUACAAUAACCAAACAACACUUGGAGCCAAACUUAGGUGGACUCACUGUAGAACAGGUAAAUCCACAUUCUUUUUAUCUUAUGCAGAAACAUUACUUCGAAAAAUUCGCUGCAACAUCCAAAUGGGUCGCAAGGACUAAAAUAUUUUUAGCAUGUUAAGAGGUAAUCCUUACUAUACAAGUUAACAAAAUGCUCCUAAAAAUAAUUAUUUUUAGCAUAAAAUGUGUUUCAAGUAUGGUCAAAAUUGGUUGCAGUCCCUACUUUUUAAAGAUGCUGAUUUUAUUCCUCAUAUUUCUAAAAUAUGAUGGAUUUAAUCCAUAACUCUCUAUGCUUCAUUUUGACCCGAGGAGGGACCAAAUCCAUCACAUUUCAUAAAAUACAAGAACCAAAACCAUGGUUUUUAAAAUACAAGGACUAAGAUCAAUGUUAAAUUGAGGAAUCUAAAACACAUUUUGCCUUUAUUUUUAUGUUAAUAUAAUCUUCCUUGCAUUUUAUCCAGAGGAGUGGCAGUUGAGGAUCCAGCUUCCCCGCAUGGGCUUCGCCUUCUGAUAAAGGACUAUCCUUAUGCUGCUGAUGGACUAGAGAUAUGGGCUGCUAUCAAAUCCUGGGUCCAAGAAUAUGUGUCUUUCUACUACAAGUCAGAUGCUGCUGUUGCACAAGAUGCUGAACUCCAAGCCUUUUGGAAAGAGCUUGUAGAGGUUGGUCAUGGUGACAAGAAAAAUGAGCCAUGGCGGGGAAAGAUGAAAACUCGCCAAGAGUUGAUUGAUUCUUGCACAAUCCUCAUAUGGACUGCUUCAGCCCUCCAUGCAGCUGUUAAUUUUGGACAGUAUCCAUAUGGAGGUUACAUCCUUAACCGCCCAACUCUUAGCAGGCGAUUCAUGCCUUAGAAAGGAUCCCCUGAGUAUGAUGAGCUUGCUAAGAACCCUCAGAAGGUGUAUUUGAAGACAAUUACAGGGAAGAGUAUCAAUAUUUAUUUUCUCACAACUUUUUUUCGUAACUUAGACCUAUGAGAAUCAAACACCUUUUUUAUUAGUUUUAUUUCCAAGUUUUGUAUUUAACUCAUUGCCUAGUAAGCAAAAAGUGUGUAAAUUGCCAAAGAUUGAAUAAGUCCCUUGCAAAAACAAUAUUUGGUACACUUGUCAGUGACAUAACACAAUUUUCCUUUUUCAUGCUUCAAUCAAAACAAACAUAGUCUUAGACUCUUAGGGAUUAUGAUCGUGGUUUGAAUUUUAUUAAUUAGAUUAUAGAUGAGUUGAAUUUGAAUUGACAAUGAUAUAUAUAUUUUUUUUUAACAAAGACAAUAAUGCAUAUUAAUUAUGCGAAAAACAAAAUACAAUCAAUGUAAUGAUUCACGAUGAUCCAAAAUGAGAUAAUAUAUUGAAAAAAAUUGUUUGCACAUAAUUUUAAUUAACUUUGGAAAGAUAAUCAUUUAUCAACUGAAAUUGUUUUGAGAUUUUUAUUAAGUGUGAGGGUACUUGUGAGAUUUGUGAAUCUAAAUUAAUCCAAAUCUGAACCAAACUGUCAUGUUUAAGAAGUUCAAUUAUUUAUUAACUCUAUUAGAUUUUGUUAAUUUAUCGUUAUAAACUUUACCAUAUGUCAACUAGAACUUAGAAAAUUCAUAAAAGUAUCAAUAAUUUUCAUAUUUUUUUCCUUAUACGAUAUUGUAUAAUCUAUUUUUGCAAAUUAAUAAAUACAAGACAAAAAUAUCACUUUAAUAAGACAUCAUUAUAAACAAUUUUUUUCUUAUUAUGCAUAGUUAUUAAGCACAAUUUAUUUUCCUCAAUGAAAAUAUUCUAUAAUUUAAAACAUAUUUUUAUACUUUUAGGUUUUGAGUUUAAUCUUUGGCCAUGUUCAAAAUUUUACAAUCAACUAAUUAUAAAUUAUUUAAAGCAUUAUGAAUUUUACAUUAAUAUUAUAAAAAGUAGUAUCUUCAAUCCUAUAAGAAAUAAAUUGUAAUAUUUUUUUAAGCCCUUUUAUAAGAAACAUAUUAACACUUUUAAAAUAUAUUAAGUACUAAUUUCCUUUAAUACUCUUAAUUUAUUGUAAUCUAUAUUAAUGAAAUAUUACAUUUUUUAUGAAAAUGGAUGUAUUUAUUAAUCUAUUAACAAUAUAACUUAUACUUAUUAGUUGAAAAAAUAUUUCUUAAAUUACGAGUAAUGUUAAUAUAUUUAACCAUCACUCAAGUCAAUUAAUUUUAUAUGUAGUUUUAGAAUAAAAUUUAAAUUUAUAAUAAUAUUAAUAUUAAUUAAAAUAAUUUAAUUUAACAAUUUGUAUUGAUUUUGAUUAAUUAAGUAUUUAUUUCUUAUACGUAGAAGUAGAGGUAAUAACUAUUUUAUCAUAUAUGACAAUAUAUGAUUGAAUCACAAUAUAUACUAUUAAUAAUUAUAAUUAAAUUCUUAAGUUUUUAUUUCCUUUUUACUUAUUUACAAUUUUUGCAUUAAGAGUGUGUUUGGUAAGUUAUUUUAAUAGUUUAGAGCAUCUCUAACAUAGGUGUUUCAUAACUUGUUUAAAAUUAAGUAACACUAACUAACAAUAUUUUUACCAUUGCAACGAAUGACUUAACACUAUAUUGUUUAAGUGAAUUGCUUGUAUAAGCAAUUGUUGCUUAAUCAUUCUUACCAAUUGAAUAACCAUUUUUUAAUUACAAAAUUUGAAGUAACUUUGUAAAAUUCUAACAAGUUAAAUACUCAUUUUAGUAACUUUAACAUUGAAGUAAAUUUUUGUGUAAAAUUUUUAAAUUUAUAUGACAUUGUAAGACUCACAAAUUUAAAAUAAAUAAUCCAUUUAAGCAAUCACAUUAUAGAUACUCUUAUAAGUUAUUUUGACUAGCUUAUAAACUAGUUUCACUAAAAUAAUCAAGGUUACAGCUUAUAAAUUAGCUUAUGUUAGUUAAAUUGACUUAUAAGUUAGUUGAAGUCACUUACACAUAGAGUGAUUUAUUAAAUAUAUUUCACAAUUUUCAUAUAUGUGUAAUAAUUUAUUUAUUUUUGUUGGCAAAUGUGUGUAAUAAUUAUUUUUAAUGAAAUAUUAUUAUUUUUAUUUUAUUAUUAAUUUGAAAUAUAAGAAUUUAAUCAUCAUGACAAUAUAAAAUAUUUUUACACUAUCGUUUAAUCAUAAUUCAUUAUUAAUAUAAUUUUUAAAAUAAUUAUUAUAAAAGUUAAAAUUUAUCAUCAUGGUAGGUUACAAUUGAAUGAUAAUAUAAAUUUUUUACAUUAUGUAUAUUAUCUUUUUUCUUGUAUUAUAUUAUUAUUGUGUAAGUGAAAACCUAAAAUGUAG